rnacentral:lncRNA from 1 species
GGGCGCUCAGAGGGAGAGCUGCGCGGCCUUCCAGGCAGAAGGAACACCGUGUCCAAACGCACAGAAGCGUGAAAGCCCCCACGAGUGCUUUGCCGUUGUGGUGGGUCAAGUCUACCUGAUGAGGCGAACAGGGAACUCUUCCGGGGAGAAAAUCCUGCCUGUCAAUCUCAUAUUCUCAGUUCCCUUCUAUCAGAUGGGGGCUUAUUGUGCUGCCUCAUACCCACUAAAGGGCGUGAAACCCAGAAUCCUCACUAUGUCUCUUAAUGUCGUUAAAGAUUGGGCCUUCGAGAUGGCUCAGUGGGUAAAGACGCUGCCUGCCACGUUUGCUGACCUGAGUUCGAUCUUCUGGACCUUGGAAGGAGAGAAUGGAACCCUGCAGGUUGUUCCUCUGAUUUGUACAUGCGUGCACACAAGUAAUUUCAAUAAAUAACUGAUAGCUCUA